rnacentral:misc_RNA from 1 species
AUUGUUGCAAAAUGUAUAAAAAAUGAAAUUAAAAUAGAAAUUUUAAAUAAUAACCGCUAAGUCUACUUUCAAAUAGUAAAUAUUCGCUUGGUAGUAUUUUGAAUUUCUACAAGUAUAAAAAUAUCUUCAAUAUUGUUAUUUCGGUACGUCGUUACAUAUCAUAAUCAAUAUCAGCAGUUUUAAUGGAUUUUUACUUUUUGUUUCUUCUCCAAUGUUUUCAAGUUUCAACCGUGAUUUUUAGAGCAAGUUGGAGAAUACAAAUAUUUAUCAAUAACUGAUAACAACUACUGAAAACUAGUGGACACUGCGAAAAAAAUAUCAGAUAUGAACUUAUGCAUUUUUAAUAGUGUAUUCAACAUACU